CAAAGAUGAAUUCUUUAGAUGACGAGUCUGAGCUAUGAUGGUCAGAGUUUCUCUGGCCUGACGGUUCUGACGAUACAAUCUUUAAUUUACCAUUCAUGCUUUUCUGAAC
rnacentral:snoRNA from 1 species